rnacentral:lncRNA from 10 species
UCUAAUAUUGCCACAAUUGCUACAUGAUUAGUGAGAGAAGCAUUUGAUAGGCUAAUCAAUUGAUUGGUCUGGGGUAAAUAUUCAGUGAAUCCAAAGUUCAACUCUAAUGAGCCACUUCACUUCUCCUGGGCCCUCUUGGUAAUGUGGUACCAGGAACUCUGGAAGUCCUCAUGGCAUUGCUCAAGGGAGUGGUGGGAUGGGUCCCCAGCUGCUCUUUGCACAGCUCUCUGCUCUAGGUGACUGUCUGGUCCAUGAGCUGGGCUGGCCCAGUCUGUCUCUGGCAAUCCUGGGGACAUCUGCUGUUGACAUCCUUGGUGAGUGUAACCUCCAGCUUACACAACCCAUUGGACACCUCCUCUGCUCUCAAAAACUCUGCUGACCCCCAAAGUAUGGUUGUGACUCCCAUUAAGCCCAAGACCCACGUAGACCCUAUGCCCCCAGCCAGAUCCUCAUUGGAAACCCCCAUGGGAACAUACAAGAAAGUGGAUCUCUUCCAGUUCCUCCCACAUUACGUGGCAUCAAGGGCUUUGGGAAUGUCAAACCAAAUACUCCCCUGUCCUCAGCAGAGCACCCUCCCCUUUCCCAACGCCCCCCCGCCGCCACCACCAGGCUAACGAAGUUCUAAAUGGGGGUCAGGGCACAAAAUACUCUGUGUUUGCCUUUUCUCUCAAUCUAUUCAACUGCUCACCCCACCCAACUCCCACCAAUCCAGUCCUCUACCCUGGGACUUUAGCCUGCAGUAGGAAGAUCAGCCCACGAGUGUGACCACCCAGGUCCCCAACCUCAGCCCAUCUUCUUCCCAGUUUCCUGGGCCUGGAGGGGAGCUCUAAUCCCUUUCAGUUUUAGCCUUGAUAUCCUUAACAUCUUUGCCACUAGACAGUGGGCCACGGACGAGCUGCAUCAGUAUCCCCAGAGCUUAUUAGAAAUGUAGACUCUCAAGCCCCACCAUGGACUUGCGGAACCAGGGCUUGUAUGUUAACAAGGUGCCCGGGUGAUUCACAUGCACAUUAAAGUCAGAGAAGCGGUGCUGGCUUGCAGCACAUCCUGGCAGCGUGUUCUCCUUAGCUUAUGUCAGACUCCUGGAUCUGGUCCGCCAGGCCUGGUUCUUAAUAUGUUAGUGGAACUCAGCAAAUUUAGGAAACCCUUCUCUCUCUUGUCAAAGUUUGACUUCUAGAUGCUGCAGACUCAACUAUCUUGCCUCCAUGCCUUGGAUGUCACUGGCUGCAUAAGGACUUUGUCUUUCUCUUGACAUUCUUGCUGUAACAAUCCCAGUCCUCCUCAGUCCAUUCUUCUUGAAAAUGGCACUGGGGAAAGAGGCAAAUAUACAGAAUGGAGAAAGAGAGAAACACAUGAACAUACUUGAAAACUACUCUCCCAGCUACAAUAGCUUUUGCUGACUUGAGCUUCAAGUGAUGCCAGCAGGCUACAUGGAGGGUAGAGGUGAGAAGGGGUGGCACACACUUCACAGAUGUCACAGAGGAGGACGCUCCUUCUACCACACUGUCCCUUGUCUAAGGACGCAAAGGAGAAAAGCCUUGCCUUAGCAUCCAGAGUGGUUCAAUAUUACCUGAGCAAGUGAACUGCCUUUAUUUUACAGGCCUCUAGGGCAUAACUAUCCAUUUGCCCUUUUUUGUUUUGGCCACUAGGAAGCUUAGAGACAGAUUUGUGGUCCAACAACGGUAAGUGUAUGAUCAUGUCUAAUUCUCAUGCAGGACUGAUCCCUGGCUUCACCCUAGCUUGUCUUCUUCCUCCUUGCUUUUAACAUAUGCAUUUUAUUAUAACCAUGUAUUCGUAUAAGCCACUUUAAAUCUCUCCUGAAGCCAAGUGAAAUAACUUUGUAAGUAGGUACUGUUCUAGGUCCUUGCCUAUGGCGUAUUCCCUCUUGAUCUUUGCCAUUGUUAACAUCCCCAUUGCACAGAUGAGGACACUGAAGCGCAGAGAGGUGAAACAAGCAAGCCAGGCUCAGGGCAACGAGUGAAUCAUCUGUGAACACUUCCUGUGAACGUGUGACUAUGAUUAUGGAACACUCUGUUGCAUCAAGAUGGCCAGAGAUUGUCUCAGAGUCCAGGCAGUGGGAGGAGGGGGGAUUUGUUUCCUGGCUGGGUGGUCGUAGGGCAUCAAGGGAUGAGCAGCUUUGGUUGUCUGGGAUUUCAGCAGCUUGAGGGGAGCUGUAGGGCCCCAGAGCUGUCGCUGUGGCUGUGGUGUCAGAAAUGUAAGCAAGGUGCCUCCAUGGAGGUUAGCGAGGGUGCCCCUCUGAAUGCCGGGUGGAAUGCAACCUUUCGCAUGGAGGAGGCCCUCAGCAGCUGACCUCUGUCUUCCCUGUGUAGAGGGAGGGAGGCUGAGGCUGGGGCUGAGCGAGGGGUAAAGUAAGCCACGUGUCUCAUCAGCUAGCCUGCAGCAAGCACAGCCCUCUGGGAGGGCUGGUUCUAUCCUCCUCCUUGGUGUGAAAUCCAUCAAUCUAAUAGGGAUCCUUAUUUUCCCAGCCACCAAGUCACAAUGAGCAAUAAUCUCUUCUUGUUGGUGCAUAUAAAUUUGCUUCAUUCUUUUUUAAACAGCUGCCUUGUGUCGCCUUUUGCAUUCAGCCCAAGUCCAGCCUAGGAGGACAGCCUUAUCUUAAGUCACUGAGGGAACUAGCUUGCCUAACUGAAAGGGCUUUGCCCUGGAAGGAGAAGGGUCUUCUGGAAACAUAAAACGUUUCAGGGGAGGGCAGUCCUGAAUGAGAUGGCUCUAGGGGGUGGGGGACACUGGACCGCCUGAAGGUACUGGGCAUCUGGCCUGGGCUUUUGAGGAAAUGCAAAGCCAUGCUAUAGAUGAUGCUGAGCAAAGGCGGGAGAGAGACGUGGGGGUCCUACCGGGGUCACUUGAAAACCCCUUCUCCGGCCUCCCCCACGCUAACCCAUCUCUCCUGGCACGCAAGUCUGGAAAGGCCACUGGCCCUAACCAUGCUGGCUCUGCGUCCACCUUCCUCUUCAAUUCAAAUGGCUUGGAUAAAGCCAUGGGUUAUGACGCUUAACCCAUCACUGUGGGAAACUGGAUGACUUGGGGAACAAAGCCAACCUUUUGCUGUCUUGCGGAGGCAGGCAGUGGAGGGUUAUUGCCAAAAGCCUGAGCUCCGGAGCUGUGAUCUCUGAGUCUCAGUUUCCCCGUGUAAAAUGUGAUUCGAAUGAUACCUACUUCACAGGGGUAUUGUAGGGAUUGAAGGAAAUAAUGGGGAGAAGGCAUUUAUCCAAUGCCCGGCAUAGACUCUCGCAGUAACUCCCAGUUGCUCAGGCUAGUCGGGGAGGGUGGGACUGCGGCUCUAGCAGAGCCAUGGCGCCACCUUGCGGUUCUGUCGGCCAGGACAGUCGGUUAAUCAGAUUCAAAUCCAGUGACCCUUUUUCAAGCGCCUGUGAGUAGGCCUGUGCUGGGUUGAACUCAUUAUUAUUUAAACAUGUAAACUGUGUAAUGGUAAGUACAGUGCUAGUGUCUAACAGAACAUCUUGGAAAGAUCUUACAGUGCGAUGCUGGAGAAACAUCGUUUGGAAGGAACCCGCUCUCCACGCCCCCAUCAAAGGGACCCCCUUCUAAGCUACCAUGACUGCUCAAAUACCCCAGACGUUCCCAGCUUCAGCGACUAACUGGAAACAAGGUUUUGUUAGCUUAAGAGCAAGGAGAGGGGAUUCAUGAUCAGAUUUAAAAUGUCUCCUCAGUUUCCAAGUCCUGCCAUAUUGCUUCUCCCAGUUUCACUCAAACCCCCGCUCCCCUCCCCAGCCCCCUAGCCCACCACUGGUCUGCUGUCUUUCCUCUCUCCGGACCCGCUCAGGUCUCCCAUUCCCUUUGCUUUUCCCCUCCACCCCCACCUCCACUGUAACCUGCUAUGGUUAGUCUCCUCCUCUUCCUGCUGCACCCCUC